CCACAAUGACAAUGAAAAUACAUCACAAAGAAACCUAUGGGAUACAGCAAAAACGCAGUACUGAGGGGCAAGUUCAUUGCCCUUAGCACUCACAUUAAAAGAAUGGAAGCAGAGCAGGUGAAUAACCUCACAAUGAAAAUAAAACAACAGGAGAAACAAGAA